rnacentral:tRNA from 3 species
GCGCCCGUAGCUCAGUUGGAUAGAGUACUGCCCUCCGAAGGCAGGGGUCACAGGUUCGAAUCCUGUCGGGCGCGCCA